GCGAAGAAGCUGGCAGGAGUCCGGGCUGGGGUCGGGUUUGAAGGCUCGUUUGGCUUUAGAGGCUGUGAUACAGCUGUUCGGAUUCGACCGCCAGGCAGAAAGCGAUUCCAAAGGGCCAGGACAACAAAGAAGCCCGCAAGAUUCCCAAUGGUGUCCAUAACUUUCAAGCAGAGCCGCAGCGACAGGUUCUACAGCACCCGUUGCUGCGGCUGUUGCCAUGUCUGCACGGGGACGAUUAUCUUGGGGACCUGGUACAUGGGGGUGAACCUAUUGAUGGCAAUAUUGCUGACAGUGGAGGUGACUCAUCCAAACUCCAUGCCAGCUGUCAACAUUCAGUAUGAAGUCAUUGGUAAUUACUAUUCAUCUGAGAGAAUGGCUGAUAAUGCCUGUGUUCUUUUUGCCGUCUCUGUUCUUAUGUUUAUAAUCAGUUCAAUGCUGGUAUAUGGAGCAAUUUCUUAUCAAGUGGGUUGGCUGAUUCCAUUCUUCUGUUACUGACUUUUUGACUUCGUUCUCAGUUGCCUGGUUGCUAUCAGUUCUCUCACUUAUUUACCAAGAAUCAAAGAAUAUCUGGAUCUUACCUGAUUUUCCCUACAAAGAUGACCUCCUGGCAUUGGAUUCCAGCUGCCUCCUGUUCAUUGUUCUCGUGUUCUUUGUCUUGUUCAUCAUUUUUAAGGCUUAUCUAAUCAACUGAGUUUGGAACUGCUAUAAGUACAUCAACAACAGAAAUGUGCCAGAAAUUGCUGUGCACCCUGCCUUUGAAGCACCUCCUCAGUAUGUUUUUCCAACCUAUGAAAUGGCUGUGAAGAUGCCUGAGAAAGAACCACCACCUCCUUACCUACCUGCCUGA